rnacentral:rRNA from 1 species
AAAUUGAAGAGUUUGAUCAUGGCUCAGAUUGAACGCUGGCGGCAGGCCUAACACAUGCAAGUCGAACGGUAACAGGAAGCAGCUUGCUGCUUYGCUGACGAGUGGCGGACGGGUGAGUAAUGUCUGGGAAACUGCCUGAUGGAGGGGGAUAACUACUGGAAACGGUAGCUAAUACCGCAUAACGUCGCAAGACCAAAGAGGGGGACCUUCGGGCCUCUUGCCAUCGGAUGUGCCCAGAUGGGAUUAGCUAGUAGGUGGGGUAACGGCUCACCUAGGCGACGAUCCCUAGCUG